rnacentral:rRNA from 1 species
AAUGAACGCUGGCGGCAUGCCUAACACAUGCAAGUCGAACGACACCUCCGGGUCUAGUGGCGCACGGGUGUGUAACGUGUCGGAACCUUCCCUUAUGUUUCGAAUAACUCUCCGACGUGGGUGCUAAUACCGGAUAAUUUCUUCUAACCAAACAUUUAUCGCCUUUGGAUGGGCCGGCGUUGGAUUAGCUUGUUGUGAGGGUAAAAGCCUACCACGGCGAGGCUACAUAGCUGGGAAGAGAGGAUGAUCAGCCACACUGCGAGUCUGACCCGGCCGAGAAUACUACGCGAGGGGGCAGUGGGGAAUAUAGGACAAUGGGCGAAAGGAUGAACGAGCAAUGCCGGGUAAGUGAUGAAGGCAGGAAAGUAGUAAAGCGCUUUUACCCGGGAUGAUAAUGACAGUACCGGAAGAAUAAGCUCCGGCUAACUCCGUG